rnacentral:rRNA from 1 species
AAUGAACGUUGGCGGCAUGGAUUAGGCAUGCAAGUCGAGCGAGAAGUGUAGCAAUACACGGAAAGCGGCGGAAGGGAGAGUAAUACGUGGGAAUCUGCCCUUAGACCUGGGAUAGCAGCGGGAAACUGCUGGUAAUACCAGAUAAUGUCUAUGGACCAAAGGCGUGAUUCCGUCUAGGGAUGAGCCCACGUCCUAUUAGCUAGUUGGUAGGGUAAUGGCCUACCAAGGCGAUGAUGGGUAGCGGGUGUGAGAGCAUGACCCGCCUCACUGGGACUGAGACCCUGCCCAGACACCUACGGGUGGCUGCAGUCGAGAAUCUUCGGCAAUGGGCGCAAGCCUGACCGAGCGAUGCCGCGUGCGGGAUGAAGGCCUUCGGGUUGUAAACCGCUGUCGAGGGGGAGCAACUUCCAUAGAGUUAUCUUUAUGGAUUGAGUGAUCCCUGGAGGAAGGACGGGCUAAGUUCGUGCCAGCAGCCGCGGUAAAAC